CCUACGGGAGGCAGCAGUGAGGAAUAUUGGUUAAUGGACGAGAGUCUGAACCAGCCAAGUAGCGUGAAGGAUGACUGCCCUAUGGGUUGUAAACUUCUUUUAUAAAGGAAUAAAACGAGGCACGUGUGCCUUUUUGCAUGUACUUUAUGAAUAAGGAUCGGCUAACUCCGUGCCAGCAGCCGCGGUAAUACGGAGGAUCCGAGCGUUAUCCGGAUUUCUUGGGUUUAACGGGAGCGUAGAUGGGUUGUUAAGUCAGUUGUGAAAGUUUGCGGCUCAACCGUAAAAUUGCAAUUGAUACUGGCAGUCUUGAGUACAGUUGAGGUAGGCGGAAUUCGUGGUGUAGCGGUGAAAUGCUUAGAUAUCACGAAGAACCCCGAUUGCGAAGGCAGCUUACUAAACUGUGACUGACAUUGAUGCUCGAAAGUGUGGGUAUCAAACAGGAUUAGAUACCCCAGUAGUC
rnacentral:rRNA from 1 species